rnacentral:rRNA from 1 species
GACGGAGGAUGCAAGCGUUAUCCGGAAUUAUUGGGCGUAAAGCGUCCGCAGGUGGCUGUUCAAGUCUGCUGUCAAAGCGCAGAGCUUAACUCUGUACAGGCGGUGGAAACUGAAGAGCUAGAGUAUGGUAGGGGUAGAGGGAAUUCCCGGUGUAGCGGUGAAAUGCGUAGAUAUCGGGAAGAACACCAGUGGCGAAAGCGCUCUACUGGGCCAUAACUGACGCUGAGACACGAAAGCCAGGGGAGCAAACGGG